CUUAAUGCACAGCAACCUCAGAUACACUUUGUGAACCACUGGAAGGAUUCUACUGUAUAGACUUCACAGAGAACCACUGUGUGGCAGCACAGAAACACAGCAGCUGUCAACCAGGACAAUACAUCAGGGAGAAAGGAACAGUCCUCAGAGACACUGUGUGCUCUGACUGCAGUGGGGGGACAUUUUCAGAUGGGACAUUUCCAUCUUGUCAGCCACACACACAAUGUCAAUCAGAAAACCUUCAGCUGAUAAGAGCAGGAACAGCUUCAACUGAUGCUUAAUGUGGACA